rnacentral:rRNA from 1 species
AAUGAACGUUGGCGGCGUGGAUUAGGCAUGCAAGUCGUGCGAGAACCGUAGCAAUACGGGGACAGCGGCGAAAGGGAGAGUAACGCGUGGAUACCUACCCCCAGGCCCAGGAUAGCCACGGGACACCGCGGGUAAUACUGGAUAAUGUCAUCGGACCAACGGAGUGAAUCCGACCCGGGAUGGGUCCGCGUCCUAUUAGCUAGUUGGUAGGGUAAUGGCCUACCAAGGCAAAGAUGGGUAUGGGGUGUGAGAGCAUGCCCCCACUCACUGGGGCUGAGACACUGCCCAGACACCUACGGGUGGCUGCAGUCGAGGAUCUUCGGCAAUGGGCGCAAGCCUGACCGAGCGACGCCGCGUGCGGGAUGAAGGCCUUCGGGUUGUAAACCGCUGUCAGAGGGGAGGAAAUGCCGUGGGGUUCUCACCACGGUUUGACCUAUCCUCAGAGGAAGGACGGGCUAAGUUCGUGCCAGCCGCCGCGGUAAUAC